UACAGAGGGGGCAAGCGUUGUUCGGAAUUACUGGGCGUAAAGGGCGCGUAGGCGGCCUUCUAAGUCGAACGUGAAAUCCCUGGGCUCAACCCAGGAACUGCGUCCGACACUGGAAGGCUUGAAUCCGGGAGAGGGAUGCGGAAUUCCAGGUGUAGCGGUGAAAUGCGUAGAUAUCUGGAGGAACACCGGUGGCGAAGGCGGGUCUCUGGGCCGAUACUGACGCUGAGGAGCGAAAGCGUGGGGAGCGAACAGG
rnacentral:rRNA from 1 species